AAGCUUUGUGAAUUCACAGGCCCUAUCUUAUGGUAUGAACUGAGUACGCGAUGAUAUUUAUGGUGCGUAUCGAGGGCUUAUCAUGAGACAAGGCCAUGAAUUCGCGAAGCGU
rnacentral:pre_miRNA from 1 species